UAAAUACAUCUGCAUCUUCCUCUUUUUAUAAAUACAUGAAUUUAUCUGUGCUUUCCACCACACCCUGUUUGAUACAUGUCUUCAAUCUCACCCACUGCAGCCUCCACCUCUUUCAGCUUUACACCUCACCACAUGCCACACAUCAACCCCUCUCUCGUCUUCACACCCAGUCACACUGUUCAAAAGUACCUCAAGUGAACCGUAUCUGCGAACAACUGGAUAACUGAGGAUUGUUUCCACCAAUGGAUGUCCUUCUAAUGAAAACUUGAUGACUGCUUAGCGUGUACUAGGAGUUUGACUACAAGGGACUGCCUGUAACUUUGACACUGAGCCAGAGGGAUUUU